CCCAGCUCGUCAUGCUAGAGCACUUUUUCCAAUCGGCUUCCCAACGACAAGACAAUGACGCAUUUGUAUUUCAUCCAUAUCAACUUUCGAUGCCAUUGACUGCGCCUACCAUGAUGACCACGGGUAACGGGGAAUCAGGGUUCUAUUCCGGAGAGGGAGCCUGAGAAACGGCUACCACAUGCAAGGAAGGCAGCAGGCGCGCAAAUGACCCACUCCCAACGCGGGAAGGUAGUGACG